rnacentral:rRNA from 1 species
GCGAACGGGUGAGUAACACGUAUCUAAUCUACCAUUUAGUGGGGAAUAACUGUUGGAAACGACAGCUAAUACCGCAUAAUAUUGCUGGAUAAUUUCCAGUAAUGAAAGGAGCUUUCAAGCUCCGCUGAUUGAUGAGGAUGCGGCGCAUUAGCUAGUUGGUAGGGUAAUGGCCUACCAAGGCAAUGAUGCGUAGCCGAUCUGAGAGGAUGAACGGCCACAUUGGGACUGAGACACGGCCCAAACUUCUACGGAAGGCAGCAGUAGGGAAUUUUUCACAAUGGGCGAAAGCCUGAUGGAGCAAUGCCGCGUGACUGAUGAAGGUCUUCGGAUUGUAAAGGUCUGUUGUAAGGGAAGAAAUGGUAAAACAGGAAAUGGUUUUAUCUAUGACGGUACCUUACCAGAAAGCCACGGCUAACUAUGUGCCAGCAGCCGCGGUAAUACAUAGGUGGCAAGCGUUAUCCGGAUUUAUUGGGCGUAAAGGGUGCGUAGACGGUUUUGCAAGUCUGAGGUUAAAUUUAGGAGCUCAACUCCUAAUCGCCUUGGAAACUACAAGACUAGAGUAUAGGAGAGGUUAGUGGAAUUCCAUGUGUAGCGGUGGAAUGUGUAGAUAUAUGGAGGAACACCAGUGGGCGAAG